CAGAGAGAGAGAGAGCAAGAGCCGUUCCCAGACCGAUAGCGAACAAGUAGAGUGAUCGAAAGAUGAAAAGCACUUUGAAAAGAGAGUUAAACAGCACGUGAAAUUGUUGAAAGGGAAGCGCUUGCGACCAGACUCGCCCGCGGGGUUCAGCCGGCAUUCGUGCCGGUGUACUUCCCCGUGGGCGGGCCAGCGUCGGUUUGGGCGGCCGGUCAAAGGCCCCUGGAAUGUAGUACCCUCCGGGGUACCUUAUAGCCAGGGGUGCAAUGCGACCAGCCUGGACCGAGGAACGCGCUUCGGCACGGACGCGGCAU
rnacentral:rRNA from 1 species